rnacentral:rRNA from 1 species
UACGGAGGGUGCGAGCGUUGUUCGGAAUCAUUGGGCGUAAAGGGCGCGUAGGCGGCUUCUCAAGCGUGCGGUGAAAGUCAGGGGCUCAACCCCUGAUCGGCCGUGCGAACUGGGGGGCUGGAGCACUGUAGAGGCAGGCGGAAUUCCGGGUGUAGCGGUGGAAUGCGUAGAGAUCCGGAAGAACACCGGUGGCGAAGGCGGCCUGCUGGGCAGUGGCUGACGCUGAGGCGCGACAGCGUGGGGAGCAAACAGG